AGUAAACAAAUAGAAACCUUGUAUCUACAAAGGCUUCACUUUCAUAACGCCUACUCAGUUCACACAACUGUUGUGUUUGUGGGUGAACUAUGACAACGAAAGACUGGCAAAUACAACACAUGAACGUAUUACCCAAACUAAGUCACAACAAGUGUAAGCAUUUGCAGUACUCAUUAGAUUUGCUUGCAUGCACAAGUGUAUGGAGAAUAGUCAUGGCUAGAUCUAGUAUCUGCUUGGUAUUACUCACUAUUGUCCUAGUUAGACAAAUACUCGCCGACGAGAAAAUGUGUAAUAAUGGAACUGUAAAGCUAUUUGUGGCAGGAGCUUUACUUCUGAAUGAAAAGUAUGUCCAGUACUGCCACAAUGGAGAAUGGCAUUGGCUGUGUGCUGGUGGUGGAAGCUGGACAAGAGUGGAGGCCAAUGUUGUGUGCAGACAACUGGGACUCAGCGGCCAAGGAGCCAAUAAAGGGAUUGAUACUACACACUGUACCCCAGCGACCACCCACACACACCUCCACUCGUCCCUCUCUAGUCGUGGAUCCACCCACCAGUCUUGUGGUUCCGUUAGUGCAAUCUUGUCAGUGCAUGAAUGAAUUACAUACAAGCAGUUUGGACAAUCUGGGGCAGGAGUCUCGACUGGUUCUGCUACAUUCUAACAGGCUUCUUUCAACUCCAUUACAUACAGGAUGACUGAAAUGAGGUGAUGUUGGUGGAGAUGAACAGACUGCACCUCUUGUAGCUCCUGUAUACAUCACAUCAAAAUGUAUGCGACAUGCUUAGUAAAUAGCUUAUACCUCUUUCAGAAUAACCUAUAGUUGUCGACAAAUUACGUGCGGGACAGCAAUGGAUGAUUUUGCUGUUAACCAAUUAACGGCACACAAUGUUUUCCACUCUCCAUUGUCACAAAACUGCACUACCCCUUUUACUGAGUCAUCCAUUUCAAGUGGUUGGUCUCUGAAUCGAACAUCACCAUCGAAACAACCUGUAUAAAAAUACAGCUUUCCUCAUACAUUAUAGAGCGAUGCAUGUGAUAGUAUAAUUAUAUGUAAUGUUAUUACCACAUGUAAAUCCAGCUAUGUGGUUGGUAGAUGAUGAUGAAGUGACAGGACCUCCAUUAAAAGCACUCAGUUAGGUUCUGCUCAUUCGCAUUGCAGGCUGGCAACGUUACACAACUUGUAGAGUUUACUGAUACCUCCAUGACUUGAGCUCCUGUAUUCACAGUUUCAACUAUACCUGUCUAGAACAAUUAUUGUAUACGUAUACCUUGAAAAUCCAUACCAUUCUGCUUACAAGCCAGUUUUGCAUGAGUGAUAGUCCAGCCAGAAUAACAUACGCUGGUCCAUUUGAACCCCGAUGAUGAAGACUGACAAAUACUGACUGAGCUAUCAGGAUUCAACUCGAGCUCACCAGCGACAGUGCAAGUAUCUAUAAUUAUUAAGAUACACGUGAAAUACAAACAAAUUCCAUUCACCUUGUCCAGUCCCUUGUGUUAUGAAUGCAGCCACUAACACAAAGAUUAGCAUACUAGCCAUUGUAGAACAUGCAUCUAACUUGCAACUAAAUAGCUAAAUAUUGCUCAACCACAAAUAUCCCCCCCCCCCGCAAAUCAACAGAGACUGAUUAAUUAACAUAAUUAAUGUGUUAGCAACUUAUAGUUUACAUAGCCACUUAUUAUAUCAACAAUGACCUAACAGUGAAACCUGAUAACAGGAAUUUCCGUAUAGCUAUACAAAUACAAUUAAAAUUGCUGGUGAUGGUGUGAUGGUAGCACUCGGUCUAAUGGUUUCUUCACACAAAUCUAAGUCUUGUUCACUUAUUUGCUACAUCCUGGCAUACUUCAAAAAGAGUAACGCUAUAAAUCCAUAUAUGUAAACAUGUUGCAAAGAAUUCCAACAAUACAUGCAUAAUAUAACUUUCUUGAUUCUACUAGUUGACCAUAAAAAAUAGUAUUUUCAGAAGACGAUCGAGUGAUACAGUUUCAUUCUGUGUUGCUAUUGACUACUGAUUGGUAGACUUGUUAUGUUUAUUGCAAGUUCUAUAGCCAUAAUUAUGUUAUAAUGAAAACAGUCCUUGAAUUGUAUCGUGUUGGACUGACAGUUAUUUUUGAGCAUGUUACAGUUUCAGUACAUGUAUUCAUUUGAGGAUAUAAAUGUGCGCAGCCUUAUAAUUAUUAUUGAGCAGUGUCGAGUCACAGUGGAUAUUUGUACAUUCACAGGCUCGACUAACCAUCAUGCCAGCACUAUUACAGCGGCAUUGGGAGCAGUUAUUGGUGUUCUAGUGGUCCUUCAAAUAAUCACUCUGAUUGGUUGUGGUGUUGUUGCUAGGAGGAGAAACACUAAUGGCAGCUAAUGUGUAAAUCAGUUAUUGCCCACCUUUUAGUUUAUUGCUAUAAUAAUGCAUGCAGUUCCACAGGCAGAGGAACAAAUCGUACGUUCUUCGAGGCGUGAUAGAACAUUGCCUAGUAUAUACUGUCCAGCUCAAAUGGAGAAUAAAAAACCUUGUGUCUACAAGGCAUUCACUUUCAUUCAAUACCUACUCAGUUUAGAGAACUGUUGUGUUUGUGGGUGACUAUGACAACAAAAGACGGACAAAUGCAAUACAUGAAAGUAAUUAUUACUACUAAAUUAACAACUUGCAGCAUUAUAUAGCUUGUGCACAGUACAUGUAGACUAUACUUAAAAAUUACUGCUUACAUGCACAAGAGUAUAAUUAUAGCUUGAAUUAGUCAUGCGAAUAUUAUCUCAGCACUACUAGGUCUAGUCGCUAUUGCUUUAGUUGGACAACUCUCUGCAAUAGCACAAAGUGAGUACAUUCACUAUAUAUAAUAUAGAGACUGAUAUACAGAAACAUGGCAUGCAGGCUGUAAUAGUGAACAUGUUCAACUGUCACUUAACACAACGGACAAUAGAAGCUACGUUCAGUACUGCAUUGAUAGUACUUGGAGGACUCUGUGUACUAGAUCGUGGUCGCGUGUUGAAGCGAAUGUUGUAUGCAGACAGCUAGGCUACAGUGACCAAGGAGCCAUAAAAGAGGUGACUGACUUUGGGGAUAUUCAUAUGGGAAAGUUCUUCAUGUUCAAUCAAUCUUGUGCUGGUGGGGAGAAUACAUUAGCAGAGUGUAAGCCAACAACAACAUUGGAACACUGUCGCCGUUUUUAUAUGCGUGAAAACAACAGACAAGGAUACAUUCCAGCUAACUGUACUGAUGAAUCCCUAAGACUGGUGGGUGGAUCCAACAUAAAACAAGGACGAGUGGAGGUGUGUCAGAACAAGCGAUGGGGUACAAUGUGCUACAACCAAGCACUAGCUGGACAUGUUUGCUCUCAGCUAGGAUUUCCAAGCCAAGGAGCAGCAGCGAUGGAAAUGAAUACAACUGGCCCACAAAUUAACUGUAACAUCGACACCAACAAUAGGUUGAGCUGUAGGAACAUCACUGACAGUGGGUUAUGUCCUCGAGGUUUAGCCGUUGAGUGUCCAUCGUUCAGUGAUACAAUAGCUACCAGUGCACUAGGAGCAGUGAUUGCAUUUCUUGUAUUACUGGAAGUAGGGACAGUUAUUGCGUGGGUGGCUUGUACUGUCACAAGGAAAAGGAACUCAAGUCCAACAAAACCAAGAAUUCUAUUACAAGGGAAUGAGAGCUGCACUGACACAACUAUAUAGAACCGAGCUACAGUUCACUAGGUCCUAACUACAAUACUGUGACUACAAGCGAUGAAGGAAUUGGAGAAUAUGAUGUCAUUGAUCACAAAAAACAGAAACUGAAACCAGCCAACCCACCACCAGUGAAGAUUGAGGCCAGUAAAAGUGAUGAUGAGUUCUUCAAUACAGAGGUUCAUAUGUACACAUGCAGCCGUCAAUAAGGAGAAAAGGAAUAAUGUUGGAGGAGAAUGAACCUUGCAACUACAGUUAUAUACAUAGCUAUAGUGUGUAGAGACACACUUGCAGUCUGUCAUCAUACAAAGUACUUACAUGAUUAAUGCAUAAACCUUUGUGUAUGCAUCAUAACACUGAUUGUACAACAGUAAUCACAAUUCACAGUUGAAUCAUGAGGUAAAAACAAUCAAAGAAUGAAUACUGGGUCUUCUUGAAA